AGUGAACGCUGGCGGUAGGCCUAACACAUGCAAGUCGAACGGCAGCACAGUAAGAGCUUGCUCUUACGGGUGGCGAGUGGCGGACGGGUGAGGAGUACAUCGGAAUCUACUUUUUCGUGGGGGAUAACGUAGGGAAACUUACGCUAAUACCGCAUACGACCUACGGGGGAAAGCAGGGGAUCUUCGGACCUUGCGCGAUUGAAUGAGCCGAUGUCGGAUUAGCUAGUUGGCGGGGUAAAGGCCCACCAAGGCGAGGAUCCGUAGCUGGUCUGAGAGGAUGAUCAGCCACACUGGAGCGUAGACAGGGACCAGACUACUACGGGAGGCAGCAGUGGGGAAUAUUGGACAAUGGGCGCGAGCCUGAUCCAGCCAUACGGCGUGGGUGAAGAAGGCCUUCGGGUUGUAAAGCCCUUUUGUUGGGAAAGAACCGCAGCAGGUUAAUACCCCGCUGGUCUGACGGUAACCAAAGAAUAAGCACCGGCUAACUUCGUG
rnacentral:rRNA from 1 species